AUUGAACGCUGGCGGCAGGCCUAACACAUGCAAGUCGAGCGGCAGCGGGAAAGUAGCUUGCUACUUUUGCCGGCGAGCGGCGGACGGGUGAGUAGUGCCUGGGGAUCUGCCCAGUCGAGGGGGAUAACUACUGGAAACGGUAGCUAAUACCGCAUACGCCCUACGGGGGAAAGCAGGGGACCUUCGGGCCUUGCGCGAUUGGAUGAACCCAGGUGGGAUUAGCUAGUUGGUGAGGUAAUGGCUCACCAAGGCGACGAUCCCUAGCUGGUCUGAGAGGAUGAUCAGCCACACUGGAACUGAGACACGGUCCAGAAUCCUACGGGAGGCAGCAGUGGGGAAUAUUGCACAAUGGGGGAAACCCUGAUGCAGCCAUGCCGCGUGUGUGAAGAAGGCCUUCGGGUUGUAAAGCACUUUCAGCGAGGAGGAAAGGUUGGUAGCUAAUAACUGCCAGCUGUGGCGUUACCCGCAGAAGAAGCACCGGCUAACUCCGUGCCAGCCGCCGCGGUAAAAC
rnacentral:rRNA from 1 species